CAAGGAGUUCGACGUGCGUCGGCGAGUCGAAGGGUCAUCUAAACCCCGAGGCGCAGCGAAGGAUGUUUAUGGCUCAUUAGCUACCUUGAUCCCCGUGCUUCGGCACGGGGCGCAGAGGUGCCCCGUCCGGCCAUAUAAUCGGGCGGUGGUAAGAGCGCGUACGUUGAUACCCGAAAGAUGGUGAUCUAUGCCCGGGGAGGACGAAGUCCUGGGGAAAGCCAGGUGGAGGUUCGCCGCGUCUCUGACGUGCAAAUCGACCGCCCAACCCGGGCAUAGGGGCGAUAGACCUAUCGAACCAUCUAGUAGCUGGUUCCCUCCGAAGUUUCCCUCAGGAUAGCUGGCGCUCGUAAUGGAGUCGGGUGCGGUCGAGAGAAUGGUUAGAGUGUCAUCGGGGGAAUACAGCUUCCCUCGUCCUAUUAUCAAACUGCGACCGCAGCCCGUAGGAAUGCGGCCGG
rnacentral:rRNA from 1 species